rnacentral:lncRNA from 1 species
UUUUUUUUUGCUUAACAUUAAAACUAUAGUAAGAUGAAUGUAUGACCAUAUUAGACUUAUGUAUCGAAAUUUCGAAAGACAAACAUACUAAGAUACAAAGCUUUAGGGAACUUUUUUCAGUGUUGAAACAUUUUUAUAACUUCUAAUUUAUUUUAUUGCGACUUCUUUUGUGCCCACCACCAUGUCUGUUGUAAACUUAACUUUUAUUAUAAAAGCAAUUCAUGUUCCAUCUUUGAUGAGCAAAUUGUGGAAUUAACUCCGUACAACCUACGUAGCGUAGUUGGUUAUUCUCUGAUGCCCUCUCAAUAUGUCUGUAUCAUUAUUGUUGAUAACGUCACUGCAACGAAGUCCUUGUUGUGUUCCCAUCUGUCAAUACACCAUCAAAAAUUAAUUUAGCUCAAUUGCAGUUAUUUUUGCCAUCGAGGCAUCUCGCUCGCACAUCUUUUAUUUCAGACUUUGCAUAGAGAUUUUGUCAUUCAUGUAUUGAUGCAUGACUCGUAUGCAUCGAUUGCUACUGAACAGAAGGUUUUGUGAUUUUCACAGUGUUGUACUCGAUGCAGAGGCUUAUGUACGAUGCUUUACUGGACAUUAGAGCGAAGACAAUGCUAAUUAUAUAGCUUAAAUCAUUCAUGAAACACACAUAACAGAAUAAAGAGUGAGUCCCAUCGUACCCGAGAUUUACCUAAAGGAAGACUUUAUUUGGGUCUACGUUAUACUUGCACCCACUAAUACCCUCUAGGUGUAGGCGGCAACACCUUUUAGAAACCUAGUCAAUUCUUUUAUAAUUUAAUUUAAGAUAAUUUGAACUCUCAUGAAAACCUUUCUUUAAUUCUUUGGGGUAAUUUUGUUGCCAUAAAUGUUUUUCCCCUUUUCCUUUGGAACAAACCAUAUACGAAAUAGCUGCGAUUGUACUGAUCACACAAUUUGCUAUCAUUAAAAUUAAUUCAAGGUAAAGAAUUCUCUCACAGUGCGUACCAAGACGCCGAGAAUUUAAGAUACCCACAAUCAUGAGAUUCACAUUCGAUUCUCAACCCCAAAUGCGCCCAUCGUAAGAUAUAAUUAAACGAUACCCCACUAAAGGCGUUGUAUCACACGGGAAAGAUUUUAAUCGUCCACUCUACAUAAAGCCCAUCACACGUCAUUUCAAGUAAUCUUUAAUUCACACCCGCACUACCACAUUUUUUUUGCGUGCUUAGACAUGAAUAUCAAUUUUUUAAAUUUGUAGGCUUUUAAGGUGUAGUGUCUGCAUGCCCGUUCUGUCCUGCCCUCAUUUUUUGCGUGGCGGGGCAAGAUUUAAGGCUUGCACCCUCAACAACAUUUGCCUCGCUCUACCCCAUUUUUUGAAAGCUUUUAUGGGACCGACCUAAUAUGGACGGACAUGCCUGUUUCCCACCCUUACCCUUAUACUAUUUUUUAUUCAUUCACUAACUUGGAUGUUGGCGUAUUAACCUUGUAGGUUCAUCCUCACUUAGUUGUACCAUAAGCUCACUAUAACAAACCAGAACUCCAUCCCAUUCAAUCUUUACAUAUUUUUUGUUCCAGUUCAAAAUAUUGGCGCCGUUUUUUAGAACCGUCGUCUGAUUCUCACAAAUUUCCUGAUUGUACCAUAAGCUCACUAUAACAAACCAGAACUCCAUCCCAUUCAAUCUUUACAUAUUUUUUGUUCCAGUUCAAAAUAUUGGCGCCGUUUUUUAGAACCGUCGUCUGAUUCUCACAAAUUUCCUGUUCAUAUUCUUUUGUUUUCAAAAUAUCUAAUUGAAAUCACGAUCUCUCUUAAGAGAAUAGAUAAUAUCUGAUGUAGCUUUUGAAGUCACCACCGAUGUAUUAACUCUAACAUCACCCAUUUACUUUCAUGUACAUAUUAUUAAUGGUGGAUUGUCUAUCAAGUAAGAAGUGAGUUAAAAGCAUCCAGCGAGAAACUCUUCAAGGCUGACAAUGGUAAUUAGGAGGGAAAAUGGAGGUAGACCUAUCUUAGGGUUUCAAGACCGCAAAAAAGUUACCGGAGCUCAUAAUGUGACGCUUCCACUAGCCAUAACUGAUAUCUUUGCAAAUCACUUAGUGUCAAUGAUCUUUAUCGAUGAUGGUAGUUUUUGUGGCCUUAUAUACCUAACAUCUUCAGGAGGUUAGGAUUACAUAGAAGAAUCUCAUGUUGUGUGAAGGUAGGAAUAUUGGGUUGUAAUUACUAAACUAAUCAUAAUAAGAUUAUAUAUGUUUAGAAGAAAGAGUUAGGAACAAUCCAUAUGAUGAAUUAGAAUAAGGAGUUAUUCACCCAAUUAAUAAAACUCGAGAGCUGUAUUAGAUACACUUGGAAGGAAUUCCUAUCGAAAUAACUAAGUUUUGUGUAAUCACCCUACCGCUGACUUAAAAUAAAAUGAAAUUUGGAUCUAGAUCCACUAGAGAAUCUUCCAACAGAAUCAUUCGAACCAAAUAUUGAGGGUAAUUUUGUUUGAGUAAAAUAGUGGAAGCAUACUUAAUUGAAGACCUAAUUCAAUAUAUUUUUUUAAUGAUACUUAUGUCUUCAAAUUUUUUGAAAUGUAGAUUACCAUGUCAGCAAACACUUUGAACAUCAUUUAGUGAUAAAUCCUUGAAAAAGAAAAUUUCUCUAGGACAUAUUUUUUAGGUUGACAUCGAAACUGGAGGAUUUUCCUCAAACAUGAAAAAAAGAUUUAUUUCUUAGAGAAAGUUGUUCCUAAAGAUGAUUCGUCCAGUUCUACUCUUAGGGCUGAAAAUUCUGCUUAUAAGAAACAUGUUUAUGAUGCCUUAGAAAUUUUAUGCCUCAUGCUUGCUACCAUGAAAUUUGAAUUGCAAAAGGAACAUGAGAAUGUGUCAUAGUUUUAUAUAAUUGAACACUUAAAGAGGUUGUAUCAAGAACAAGUUAGGCAUGAGAGGUUUGAAGUAUCCAAAUCCCUUUUUCAAGGCAAGGUAGUUGUGAGAGUCCAAGUAGGUCCCCAUGUACUUAAGAUGAUUUAGUGUGUGAAGAACCUUGACAUUGCCUAAGAGCUUUAGUCAGUUUGUCCUUAAUUUCAAUAUGAAAGACAUGGACAAUUUUUUUGCCAAACCUAUUAGACAUGUUGAGAAAUGUUGAGUAGAAUUUGAAAUCAAAAGGGAAGACCAUUCUCAUGAUCAAUAAUGGAAAGAAGCAAAACAAAGGCCUACCAAGCAGGGUAAUGAAAGGAAGGGUAAUGAAGUUUUCAGGCCCAAAUCUACUACUUGUGCUUUGAAGCCUACCUGAGGUAUAACUAAGUAAGGCAUUUACUUCUAAUGUGGUAAGACUGGACAUUGAAAGAGAAACUUCCAAAGUACCAGAAAUAUCAAAAGAAUGAAGUAGAGACUUUAACUUCGGGUAUUUUUGUUAUAGAGAUAAAUUUAUCUAAUUCUGCAUCAUGGGUAUUGGAUACUGGAUGUGGUUCUCACAUUUGUAUUAAAAAGGAGUAGAGUAUUAGCAAAAGGUGAAGUUGACUUACAAGUUUACAAUGGAGAAAAUGUUGUUGCUUUAGCCGUAUGAAUUUAGUUUGAGAACUGAUAUUACAUACCUUUAACUAGAAGAAAUAUUAGUUUCGUUUCUUGUUUGGACAAGUUUGGCUUUUCAUUUAUAAUAAAGAAUAAUUGUUUCUUUAUUUAUUUAAAUUAUAUAUUUUAUGCUACUGCACAAAUGAACAAUGAAUUGUAUGUCAUUGAUCUUGAAAUUUCAGUUUAUAAUAUUAAUAUAAAAUAAUGAAACCUAACAAGUUAAAUAUGACUUAUGUACUUGUCAAAAAGUACUGGUGUGCAUGGUAUCCCUACGCAUGUAAGGGAUACUCGGAGGCCUUAGUAAAUGGCGAUAGUUAGGGAUUGGCCACUGCAGGGAGAAGCCGUGUUUGGUGAUGUUUAUGGUGUUUAUGGUGAUAAGAGAGGUCAGCUCAGAUUAGGUGAGAGGCUCUGUAUUAUGUGUUAUACUGUUUAAGUUAUGAUUUGUCUUUUAUCCUUAAAGGGUCAUAUAUUUAUAUAGGCUAUUAGGGCCUAGUGUUUAGGAAACCCUAAGAAGUAGUAACCCAUGCCCCUUAACUAGGGGAGAAUGUUGGAAACAUAUUUUUUGAGAAGUCAUGGUAUUACUAACUGUAUAUGACUAAGGAAGGGGUAGGGGUAUGAUACACAUUGUAUGCCCUAAAGGCGAGCCCAUUAUGCUCCAUAAAGGUAACGCCUGAGCGAUGCCUUACUAGGAGAGGACCCUGACGUCACCCUUAUUAGGGACUCUUACAAAUACAACACUACAGAGUCCCUCAAGAGCUUACAAAGUGUGAAGUGUUUUAAGGCUUGUUUUAGGUUUUGUACCAUGGUCUAGGGUGAGUCCUUUGGUUGAAGACAAUCUUCUUGAUGAAAGGUGAUUCGCUCAACUAAAUGCGUCCUUCUUAAUGGGAGGCGUGUCCCUCAACUUUAGGGUGAGUCCCCUAGUUGAAGGAGAUCUUUUUAAUUGGGGAUGAUCCCCUUAGUUAGAGGUGAGUCACAACCACACUUCCAGAUGUCUCAUGUUUAGCUAGGAUGUCAGUUGGGGAUGUCAAACAUCAAUCACUCAGAUGUACAUGUUUGUUUCUAUUAAAUGUAAGUAAUGAUGGCCUAUUUUUCAAGACACUAAACGUCAGUGCCAUGUGCUAGAAGUGUGCUGAGUUUUUUAAAAUUUGGAGGGAGCCUAAAAGGCUUGUUUAGUGCUCUUGUGCUUUCAAUUCCCUUAUAAAAGCUCCUCCUUUUAUUUUAUUGCUUAUUUUAUUCUUACGACUUCUACAAACUCUUCCACAAUCUUCCCAACUUCCCUAUAAGCUCUUGGUUCCUUGUUUUCAACCUUCUCAGGUAUAAAAUUUUAUUUUCCUUUAUUUUGUAGUAGUUAUGAGUAAGGAUUGUAAGGAAAGGCUCGAAAUAUUGUUUUGGCUAGAGUCAAGUUGUAGUAUUUGAAGAUCGUAACCAUCCACUUAAUGCUUGUGAUAGUGGUGGUGAUUUCUUUUUAUUCUUCCAUUUGCUCAAGAAAAAGAGAUAAUGGUUGCCCCUUUUGUCGUGUCUAAGGAGGCCAAGGACAUUGGGCCUUUUUAUGUUUCUGACGAGCAAAUCCCUUUGUUUUGAACAUAAAUGGAGAUUUCUUCUUCAUAAGAUAAAUGGAUGGUGAUAUUGGAGGCAUGUUAACCGUAAGAAAGGGUUACUAUAGAAGUUCCUUAUGAUUGUCCCUCUUCCUAUUUCUACUUCUAUCUUCCAUUUAUUAAGGAUAUGGGGAUCUUUUUCCCCAUUUCCUCUUUUAUUGUGGAAGUCUUAAACGUCCUUAAUAUAGAGCCUUCCUAACUACCUCCUAACAAUUGCAAUUUUUUCAGGGCCGUUCAGAUAGUAUGUAAAGGUCAAAAGUUUUCCCCUAAUGUGGGGAUAUAUUUCUUAUUUUAUGCUACCUGGCCUUCAAAAGAAGGUUGGGUGUCCCUAUGCAGUAUGCCAGGAAGGGCCUAUUUUAGGCCUCACUCAAAUCAUUAAAAAAAACUAGAGAGACAUAUUCUCCCGAGUAAGGGGCGAUAAGACUAUCUCGUUGUGGUGGGGGCUAAUAUGCUAGUAAGUACCUUACACUGAGAGAGGAGAGGAUAGUUCGCCACUUGAAGAAGUUUGAGGUUAUGGAUUUGCACACAUACUGAUAUGUGACUGAAGCGAGGUGAUUACCUAGGUAAGUUUCGAAUAAUCUGGAAUUUUUUAUGGGUGUUUCCAAAUAGUGCAUGUGACCUUUCUAUUUGUCUUUCAUAUCAAAUGGAAAAGAUUACUCUCGAGAAGUGAAUGAAAAGAUGGGAAAAGAUACAAUUUGCUCGUGAGGAGACUGACAACCCCAAAGUCAUCCAUAAGGCUUUGUUGUCAAAGGUGGGAAGAGGAAAACCGAGGGCCCUCCCCCGGAUUCUCUCAAUGUGAUGGCCCAAAAAGUAGAAAAUGGAUUUUCACAACUGUUGUCAAAGAUAAUAUCAUCUCGCCUAUUUCAUGAGACGUGAAUACUAUAAGGCCGUAUGAUAACGAGGCUCCACCAACCCGAUGUUUUGUGGAGUGAUGUUGGAUUUGAUGUUAUCCAGUUUAUAGGUUCCUAUCUCCCCUUUUCAGAGAAGUUCCCUGGUGAUUAUAAGGCUCUUCAAUAUAAGUCACAUUUUGCGCUUAUUGGCAUGAAGGAUAACCUUUUAUUGAGGACGUUAGUUUUGGAGGAUGUUGAACAGAGGAGGCGAUACCAAGCUAAAAAAGAGUUGAUGGUGAAGCUAAAAAAAUAUGAUGAUGACUACAAAGAAAUCCAGAGGUUAUUGGAGGCCUUGUAGAAGGACAAAGGAACAUGGGAGAAAAAGAUGGUUGUUGUGGAGGUCGAGGAUACAAAGAUUGCUACUAAGGAUAAAUCUCUGAGAACAUAUAUGGAAAAUGCUCUUAGUUCCAAGAAGGAUUUGGAGGAUGAGGUGUCAGAUCUCAAUGAUGAUCUGAUGUCAAUCUCUGAUGUUUAUUUUCAACGGAAGAAAUAAUAGGUUUCUUUAUUCGAUCCUAAACUGGACUUGAGAAAGUUAGACUUCCUUAAUGUUUUCCAUAAUGUUCAACUGGUGGAUGAUAAGGUGUACCUCUCGGAGCCCAAUGGUUCUUCUACAUUAAUUAAUGCUCAGGAUGUUAGUGUGGCGAUGGAAUCAAGUGGAUCAGAAGCUCCCCAUCCAGAGGAUGCCUUCACAAAAGAGACAUCUCCAGAGGAGGAGUAAUGAUUGAGUUUUUUUGUUAUGUUCUUUGGCUCUUAGUUGCCUUUGUUGUAUCUCUUUUCCCCUGCGAGGGAUUUUUGUAAAAACUAAGACAACAAAGCUAGAAUUUUUAUCUCCUCAAAAGACGACAAGGAUCCCAUUUAAGGAUCUAACAUCUUCAUUUCCUCUAGGGAGGUUUUAUCCAUAACUAAUAGUUUCUUUAUAAAAAGUCACGAAUAAUAAAUGUAACUUAUUUAGAAUAAUAAAAUUAGGGGCCUAGUUAAAAUCUCUCGUCCCAUAUGAGGUACAGUGGGAAAAGACUGCACCCUAGAAAAUAACAUGCCUUUACAAACGGCAGAGAUGUAGUAAUCUCCUAAUAUGGAUGGACAUGCCCCUUUGCCACCCUUACCCUUAUACUAUUUUUCACUCAUUCACUAACUUGGGUGUUGGCGUGUUAACCUUGUAGGUUCAUCCCCACUUCGUUGUACCAUAAGCUCACUAUAACAAACCAGAACUCCAUCCCAUUCAAUCUUUACAUAUUUUUUGUUCCAGUUCAAAAUAUUGGCGCCGUUUUUUAGAACCGUCGUCUGAUUCUCACAAAUUUCCUGAUUGUACCAUAAGCUCACUAUAACAAACCAGAACUCCAUCCCAUUCAAUCUUUACAUAUUUUUUGUUCCAGUUCAAAAUAUUGGCGCCGUUUUUUAGAACCGUCGUCUGAUUCUCACAAAUUUCCUGUCCAUAUUCUUUUGUUUCCAAAGUAUGUAAUUGAAAUCACGAUCUCUCUUGAAAUAAUAGAUAAUGUCUGAUGUAGCUUUUGAAGUCACCGCCGAUGUAUUGACUCUAAGAUCACCCAUUUACUUUCAUGUAUAUCUGAUUAAUGGUGGAUUGUCUAUCAAGUAAGAAGUGAGUUAAAAGCAUCCAGCGAGAAACUCUUCAAGGUCGAAAAUGGUAAUUAGGAGGGAAAUCGGAGGUAGACCUAUCUUAGGGUUUCAAGACCGCGAAAAAACUAGAGCUCAUAAUGUGACGCUUUCAAUAGCCAUAACUGAUAUCUUUGCAAAUCAUUUAGUGUCAAUGAUCUUUAUCGAUGAUGGUAGUUUUUGUGGCCUUAUAUACCUAACAUCUUCAGGAGGUUAGGAUUACAUAGAAGAAUCUAAUGUUGUAUGAAGGUGGGAAUAUUGGGUUUUAAUUACCAAACUAAUCAUAAUAAGAUUAUAUAUGUUUAGAAGAAAGAGUUAGGAACAGUCCAUAUGAUGAAUUAGAAUAAGGAGUUAUUCACCCAAUUGAUAAAACUUGAGAGCUGUAUUAGAUACACUUGGAAGGAAUUCCUACCUAAAUAACUAAGUUUUGUAUAAUCACCCUACCGCUGACUUAAAAUAAAAUGAAAUUUGGAUCUAGAUCCACUAGAAAAUCUUCCAACAGAAUCAUUCGAAUCAAAUGUUGAGGGUAAUUUGGUUUGAGUAAAAUAGUGGGAGCAUACUAAUUAAAUAACUAAUUCGAUAUGCUUUUUUAAUGAUACUUAUCUCUUCAAAAAUUUUGAAAUGUAGAUUACUAUGUCAGCAAACACUUCGACCAACAUUUAGCGAUAAAUCCUUGAUAAAGAAAAAUUCUCUAGGACAUAUUUUGUAGGUUGACACCGAAAUUGGAGGAUUUUCCUUAAACAUGAAAAAAAAGUUUUAUUUCUUAGAGAAAGUUGUUCCUAAAUAUGAUUCGUCCAGUUCUACUCUUAGGGCUGAAAAUUAUGCUUAUAAGAAUCAUGUUUAUGAUGCCUUCGAAAUUUUAUGCCUCAUGGUUGCUACCAUGAAAUUUGAAUUGCAAAAGGAACAUGAGAACGUGUCAUCAUUUGAUAUAAUUGAAAACUUAAAGAGGUUGUGUCAAGAACAGGCUAGGCAUGGGAGGUUUGAAGUAUCCAAAGCCCUUUUUCAAGGCAAGGUAGUUGUGAGAGUCCAUGUAGAUCCCCAUGUACUUAAGAUGAUUUAGUGUGUGAAGAACCUUGACAUUGCCUAAGAGCUUUAGUCAGUUUGUCCUUAAUUUCAAUAUGAAGGAUAUGGACAAAAAAAUUGCCAAACCUACUAGACAUGUUGAGAAAUGUUGAGUAGAAUAUGAAAUCAAAAGCGAAGACCAUUCUCAUGAUCAAUAAUGGAAAGAAGAAAAACAAAGGCCUACCAAGCAGGGGAAUAAAAGGAAGGGUAAUGAAGUUUUCAGGCCCAAAUCUACUACUUGUGCUUUUAAGCCUAUCUGAGGUAUAACUAAGUAAGGCAUUUACUUCUAUUGUGGUAAGACUAGACAUUGAAAGAGAAACUUCCCAAAGUACCAGAAAUAUAAAAAGAAUGAAGUAGAUACUUCAACUUUGGGUAUUUUUGUUAUAGAGAUAAAUUUAUGUAAUUCUGCAUCAUGGGUAUUGGAUACUGGAUGUGGUUCUCACAUUUCUAUUAAAAAGGAGUAGAGUAUUUGCAAAAGGUGAAGUUGACUUACAAGGUUACAAUGGAGAAAAUGUUGUUGCUUUAGCCGUAUGAACUUAGUUUGAGAACUGAUAUUACAUACCUUUAAUUAGAAGAAAUAUUAGUUUCGUUUCUUGUUUGGACAAGUUUGGCUUUUCAUUUAUAAUAAAGAACAAUUGUUUCUCUAUUUAUUUAAAUUAUAUAUUUUAUGCUACUGCACAAAUGAACAAUGAAUUGUAUGUCAUUGAUCUUGAAAUUUCAAUUUAUAACAUUAAUAUAAAAUAAUGAAACCUAACAAGUUAAAUAUGACUUAUGUACUUGUCAAAAAGUACUGGUGUGCAUGGUAUCCCUACGCAUGUAAGGGAUACUCGGAGGCCUUAGUAAAUGACGAUGGUUAGGGAUUGGCCAAGCAGGGAGAAGCCGUGUUUGGUGAUGUUUAUGGUGUUUAUGGUGAUAAGAGAGGUCAGCUCACAUUAGGUGAGAGGCUCUGUAUCAUGUGUUAUACUGUUUAUGUUAUGAUCUGUCUUUUAUCCUUAAAGGGUCAUAUAUUUAUAUAGGCUAUUAGGGCCUAGUGUUUAGGAAACCCUGAGAAGCAGUAACCCAUCCCCCUUAACUAGGGGAGAAUGUUGGAAACAUAUUUUCCGAGAAGUCAUGGUAUUACUAACUCUAUAUGACUAAGGAAGGGGUAGGGGUAUGAUACACAUUGUAUGCCCUAAAGGCGAGCCCAUUAUGCUCCAUAAAGGUAGCGCCUGAGCGAUGCCUUACUAGGAGAGGACCCUGACGUCACCCUUAUUAGGGACUCUUACAAAUAUAACACUACAGAGUCCCUCAAGAGCUUACAAAGUGUGAAGUGUUUUAAGGCUUGUUUUAGGCUUGUACCAUGGUCUAGGGUGAGUCCUUUGGUUGAAGACAAUCUUCUUGAUGAAAGGCGAUUCACUCAACUAAAUGUGUCCUUCUUAAUGGGAGGCGUGUCCCUCAACUUUAGGGUGAGUCCCCUAGUUGAAGGAGAUCUUUUUAAUUGGGGAUGAUCCCCUUAGUUAGAGGUGAGUCACGACCACACUUCCAGAUGUCUCAUGUUUAGCUAGGAUGUCAGUUGGGGAUGUCAAACAUCAAUCACUCAGAUGGACAUGUUUGUUUCUAUUAAAUGUAAGUAAUGAUGGCCUAUUUUUCAAGACACUAAACGUCAGUGCCAUGUGCUAGAAGUGUGUUGAGUUUUUUAAAAUUUGGAGGGAGCCUAAAAGGCUUGUUUAGUGCUCUUGUGCUUUCAAUUCCCUUAUAAAAGCUCCUCCUUUUAUUUUAUUGCUUAUUUUAUUCUUACGACUUCUACAAACUCUUCCACAAUCUUCCCAGCUUCCCUAUAAGCUCUUGGUUCCUUGUUUUCAACCCUCUCAGGUAUAAAAUUUUCUUUUCCUUUAUUUUGUAGUAGUUUUGAGUAGGGAUUGUAAGGAAAGGCUCGAAAUAUUAUUUUGGAUAGAGUCAAGUUGUAGUAUUUGAAGAUCGUAACCAUUCACUUAAUGCUUGUGAUAGUGGUGGUGAUUUCUUUUUGUUCUUCCGUUUGCUCAAGAAAAAAGAGAUAAUGGUUGCCCCUUUUGUCGUGUCUAAGGAGGCCAAGGACAUUGGCCAUUUUUAUGUUUCUGACGAGCAAAUCCCUUUGUUUUGAACAUAAAUGGAGAUUUCUUCUUCAUAAGAUAAAUGGAUGGUGAUAUUGGAGGCAUGUUAACCGUAAGAAAGGGUUACUAUAGAAGUUCCUUAUGAUUGUCCCUCUUCCUAUUUCUACUUCUACCUUCCGUUUAUUAAGGAUAUCGGGAUCUUUUUCCCCAUUUCCUCUUUUAUUGUGGAAGUCUUAAACGUCCUUAAUAUAGAAUAAUAAAACAUAACAAGUUAAAUAUGACUUAUGUACUUGUCAAAAAGUACUGGUGUGCAUGGUACCUGUCGCAUCUCGCAAAAUACGAUUCCUCGCGAUGGUCGCGGAAAAAAGUAGUUCGAACAGAGUCGCCACCGAACUUUUUUUAUCCUAAUGAAGCAAUAGGAAAAUAUCGAUAAAAACCUCUGAAAAACAGAAUAAUGGUCGUCGCAACCAUAUUCGGGUUCGGGAGUCGAUUACGCAAGGGAAAAGUAUUAGCACCCCUAAUGUCCGUUGUACUCAACGGGACCCUUUUAGUUUAAUUUGUGAUUUGAAUGUUAGCUAAUGUUGUUUGUUUUCUUCGAGUGAUAAAAAUAUUGAAAAGUGAUGGAUGGAAACCUCAGAAGGGGGGAAAAGGGAGGUUUUUUAUUAGUGUGCUCGCCAAGAUCUCGCAAUUUCGUGCAUACGUAUCCAUAUGGUGCAAUAAGGAAAUUAGAGCAUUCGUAGUUCGGGGAACUACAGUUUGUUGGUUUCUUUUAGUGAACAAUUGUUUAGAUCGUGUUCUAAAGGCUAAACAUUGGCUUGUUUACUCUCGGUGGAGGCUUAAGCACUAGUUUGUUAUGCAUAUUAGAAAGGAUUAAACAGUGUUCUUUCCGAAAAGAGUUUUAAUCACACUGGGGUGACUGUAACACCUCAAAAUUUGCCCUCCUCUCUUGGGACUAGCUUAACAUAUUGCAUUGCAUUUCUUAGGUCAUUAGUCAUUAGCAUGUUGCAUAUCAUGUGGCUACAUUGAGCAAGUCAUCCUCCUAAGAUGCCCUCCUCUCUUGGGACUAGCUUAACAUAUUGCAUUGCAUUUCUUAGGUCAUUAGUCAUUAGCAUGUUGCAUAUCAUGUGGCUACAUUGAGCAAGUCAUCCUCCUAAGUCUUGAUCAGAAGAUAAUAGGUUGGUGUAUGCAAGCCUGAGGGUUUCAUUGAUUGAAUUGAUCAUUAAUCAUCUGAGGAUGUGUGGUACAAAUUAGGGUUUCUUGAUUCUCAAGGAGAUUGAUCUUCAUCUUGGUUGCAAUGAUACAUCAUCAUCAUCAUCAUGGUUUUGAUAUCAUCCAAGAGAUUGAUCAGAUACUUUGGGAUUAGGGUUUUGACCACUGGUCAACCCUAAUCAGUUGAAUCAUCUGCAUUGUGCUAAUCAGGGCUUGGCAAGGAGAUGGGGUUUUCAAUGGAUAUGGGGAUCAUCAUGUGAUUAUAUUGAGCUUAUGGAAGCUAGGGUUUCAUCAUUGAGCCAUUUCAUCAGGAGAUUGAAGCUCAACUUGAUCAGUGCAUAGCCAGAUUCAUCUAUAAGUCAGAAAAGUCAACUGUGGUCAACUGUGCCUAAGAUGAUGGAUUUGGAGGUGGGAGAGGGUUAGAGACACUUCAUUCAUGUCUAAACAAGUUUCAUUUGACAUUUCAAACAUCAAGAAUGAAGAAAAUAAAGUCAGAUGGAAAGUUUCCAAAAAUUCGUCCACUGGACAUUAACCUUUGACGGUUUUUACCUUAGUUUUUCACCUCAAAAUUACGUGUCCAAAAAUGCUUCAAAUGAAAUUUUGUUCAACAUGAAAGUUGUAGAUCUUGCUCUCACCUUUCCCAAAAGUCCAAGAACCCUCAUUUCUCAUGUGUGGUUGGCAAGUUAUGAUCAAAUCAUUUUCAGAAAAUGUUGAAAUUCAAGAGGCCAUAACUUUUGAAUGGAAAGGCCAAAUUGGGUGAUUCUUUUUUGAGCAAGUCACAUUUGAUGUGUACUAUCAUGAUGCAUCAUCACAUUUCAUCAAAAAUCAUCCUAGCAAAAGGUCAUUUUUCAAGUGUUCAUUUUAAAAAUUGGUGGGAAAAAUAGUGAAUUUUCAAAAUACAAGGCAUUUGCAUACAAAACCUUUUCUAACACAUCAUAAGCAUCAAAUAUGACUUGCUCUAACUGGUUUUGUACUGUUGCAUUGGCUGCAAUUGGAAAAGGGCAUUUUGGCCAAUUCAUGAAAAUUCAUUUUUGCUUAAUCACUUCCAAUUUGCCUAAUUGUGAUUAACACAUGGAUUAGCACAUGGUAUAAAGCAUUAAUCAUAACAGAAACUGAAUAAUCACAUUUCAUUUCUCAGAUCUAACAAACUUUUCAUCCAAAAACCUCUCAAUUUUCUUCAAACUUCUUCACACUUUUUCGCCAUUUUCCAUUGAAUUGCUUCAUUCUUUUUGCUGUUUCUUGUGUGAUCUCUCUUCUGCAGGACUUUGUGUACAUCUGUUUCACCAAAUCGUGGCCAAAGCAUUGAGGAAUUGGAACUGUUGAAAUCUCACUCAUCCAUGGCAUCUUGAGGAUUCUUCAAUCUGGAGCAUAGUUGAGCUACAAUACAUACUUCAUUCAGCUUCUACAUCAUCGAGCAUCAUCUGUUUUGGCAUUAGAGACCUUGAAUUCACCAAAUUCAACAGCUGCUAUCUUCAAAGGUUAGAUUUCGAUUUCAAUAAUUGCUAAAAUCAUGAUAUGGCUUGUGUAGAUCUAAGUUUGUAGAGCACGUUGCAACUUGUGGUUUUGAUUUCCAUGCUGAAUUGAAUGAGAUAUUUGGAUUUGAACAUUGGAAGGUGAAACUAUUUUUGCUCGAUCCGUGAAGCAUGGUUAGAGUUAGGUCGAAUGCUUGUUAGUUUUGUGAUCUAGGUUGAACGUCGGUCAUUUUGAUAUAUGGCAUGAUAAUUUUAGUGAAAAUUUGUUCAUGUGGAUUUUCUGGUGAUGAACACUUUGAAUGAUGAAGAACUCGUGUCCAGGAAGCGUUUUGAUCUUGUUUUGCCAUGCUUCGCGUUUGAAUUCUGUUUACCGCGCCUUAGAGCCAAUCACACGCUGCCAUGNNNNNNNNNNNNNNNNNNNNNNNNNNNNNNNNNNNNNNNNNNNNNNNNNNNNNNNNNNNNNNNNNNNNNNNNNNNNNNNNNNNNNNNNNNNNNNNNNNNNNNNNNNNNNNNNNNNNNNNNNNNNNNNNNNNNNNNNNNNNNNNNNNNNNNNNNNNNNNNNNNNNNNNNNNNNNNNNNNNNNNNNNNNNNNNNNNNNNNNNNNNNNNNNNNNNNNNNNNNNNNNNNNNNNNNNNNNNNNNNNNNNNNNNNNNNNNNNNNNNNNNNNNNNNNNNNNNNNNNNNNNNNNNNNNNNNNNNNNNNNNNNNNNNNNNNNNNNNNNNNNNNNNNNNNNNNNNNNNNNNNNNNNNNNNNNNNNNNNNNNNNNNNNNNNNNNNNNNNNNNNNNNNNNNNNNNNNNNNNNNNNNNNNNNNNNNNNNNNNNNNNNNNNNNNNNNNNNNNNNNNNNNNNNNNNNNNNNNNNNNNNNNNNNNNNNNNNNNNNNNNNNNNNNNNNNNNNNNNNNNNNNNNNNNNNNNNNNNNNNNNNNNNNNNNNNNNNNNNNNNNNNNNNNNNNNNNNNNNNNNNNNNNNNNNNNNNNNNNNNNNNNNNNNNNNNNNNNNNNNNNNNNNNNNNNNNNNNNNNNNNNNNNNNNNNNNNNNNNNNNNNNNNNNNNNNNNNNNNNNNNNNNNNNNNNNNNNNNNNNNNNNNNNNNNNNNNNNNNNNNNNNNNNNNNNNNNNNNNNNNNNNNNNNNNNNNNNNNNNNNNNNNNNNNNNNNNNNNNNNNNNNNNNNNNNNNNNNNNNNNNNNNNNNNNNNNNNNNNNNNNNNNNNNNNNNNNNNNNNNNNNNNNNNNNNNNNNNNNNNNNNNNNNNNNNNNNNNNNNNNNNNNNNNNNNNNNNNNNNNNNNNNNNNNNNNNNNNNNNNNNNNNNNNNNNNNAUGAACUUAGAUCUCAAUCAAGCCAUAUAAGAUCAGGCAUGUGAGAAUCGAAAAUCUAGACCAUUAUGAUGAUGCAGAGUGUGAUUUCGCCAGUCAAGUCCAAAAGCGAAAAGCAAUACUGAUGUGACAGGAAAGAUGAAUGGAGAGUUCUUUUGUUCGAAAACAACUCCGUUGUAGACAUCGUCAAUGCGCAUAUUAUGUUCUGAUGCACAAGUCUCCAAUCAGAUCUUUGGCCAAGUUUUGAUCAAACAGUUCUUCAAGGUCUGCCGAAGAGAGAAUCACACAAGAAAAACGAGCGUUGAGUCGUCCCUCUGCUCACACCACUGUGUUGAUGCAUUGGGAUAUUAACCCAAGAUCUUGUACAGUUGUACAGUUGAGUCAGAGUCAUGAGUGUAGAAGGGUUCCCACUUUCUGAACCCACACUUCUUUGUCUGAAGCUCUCCCUGGCCAGGGAUAAGAGUUGUGAGGCACACCCCUCACUUCCACUUCAUCUGGCUUCACCCUGACUCUCAAUGUCAGGGUUAAGAGCUAACAUCACCCCGACACAGUUGUGUUGCUUUUGCAACUUAACCCUUGAUUGAGCCCAUCUGUCUGUAUAUAGUGUGUGCUAACUGCGAAUGUUUGAUUUGCUUUGUGUAUGCUUGCAUGCUUUGCUUUUUCCUGGUUAGGAUUAGCUUGCUGUUGUGCCAGUAGAUAGAAACCAUAACAUAGGGCAAUGAUGCAUGAUAACAUCUAGGCUCGAGUCCAGCUCCCUAGUAGUGUGUCUCCCUUUGUAUCUGGUUAGAAUUUCUUUCUCGUUCAGGGGAACUACGUCGCCCUAGUCCAGCUCCCUAGUAGUGUGUCUCCCUUUGUAUCUGGUUAGAAUUUCUUUCUCGUUCAGGGGAACUACGUCGCCCUGAUCCUCAUACCAGAUGAGGUACGUAGGCAGGAGACCGUGCGAGGUCUCUUCGGGCACCCUUUUUCUUUUUGUGUGUGUUUGCUUGACAGUUGCUAGGCUCGAGUUCCCGACUCCUUAGUAGCUUGUUGCUUGUUUGUUCUUGCGUGUGUAGGAGAUGGAUGUAAGCCCAGCCAUUGGCAUUCCGUAUCCUCUUGUUGUGUGCUUGGAGUCCGGUAUAAGUCCAUCAAGUGGCAUCUGGUUUCCAGCGUGGGUCUGUUUGGUUCGGAAGCUGAUGUAAGUCCAGCGAUUGGAGUUCGGGUUCCAAGUUUGCCUGUGUUUGUGUGUGUUUUGUUUGGCGUGCGUGAGCCGAACUACGGUAGCUCUGAUUCUCGUUCCAGACGAGAUACGUAGGCAUAGGAUGCGAUAUCCUAGCGAGCCCUCUUCCCCCUUUUCCCACCUGUGUUGUUUCAGUGUGUGUGUGUAUGAUGUUUGUUUUAGCAACCUUUUCUUUCAUUUAGAGCGUGGAUCCCGUUGAGUACGACGGAUGCGUAGGGGUGCUAAUACCUUCCCUUCGCAUAACCGACUCCCGAUCCCAUUCUCUUUGGUCGCGAGACCAGGCUUUUCCCAGGUUUACUUCGAGCGUUUCCUUUCCCUUUUUUUGGGAUAAAUAACGCGCGGUGGCGGCUCUGUGUUGUUUUGCUUUUAGCCCGCCGGUUGUUUUUCUCGUAUGCGACAGUGACAAGUUGGAUUAAUUUGUUGGAUGUUUUGUUUGAUUGGUUUCGAUCGCACGGGGGCAAGGACAGAUAGAUUUGAUGUGUUAAGAUAUUAUUGUUGGACGACGAUUACUCAGAUAGUCGAGUAAGACAACUCGUAUCUAAGGCGCUAGACCAUCUCCAUUUUCAUCCUUAAUUAUGAAAGGAUUGGAUAAUGUUAAGGAGUUUUAAGUGGAUAACGAUUACUCGGAUAGUCGAGUACGACAACUCGUAUCCUAAUAGUCGAGGAGAGGAAUCGAAGGCUCUAGACCAUCUCCCUUUUCAUCCUUAAUUGUAAACGGAGUUGAUAAUGGUUAAGGAUAUUUUAAGUGGAUGACGAAUACUCGGAUAGCCGAGUAAGACAACUCGUAUCCUAAUAGUCGGGAAAGGGAAUAGAAGACUCUAGACCACUUUCUUUUUCAUCUUUAAUUAAUUAUGAAAAUAUAUCUGUGUAUGGUUGAUGUAUUUUAGAUAAACGACAAGUACUCGAAUGGUUGAGUAAGACAACUCAUAUCCAGGUAUUUGAGGAGAGGAAUCGAAGGCUCUAGACCAUCUCCCUUCUUGUAUAGUUUAUUGUGAAAAUGAUUUGAUUAAGUUAUAAGUUUGUGGAAAAAAUGACAAUUGUUUGACUAACCGAGUAAGAGAACUCGUAUUCAAACAAUCGAGGAGAGGAGUUGAAGGCUUAAAACCAUUUACCUUUUCAUUUAGUUUAUUAUAAGAAUGUUUUGAUUUAAUCGGGUUUAGAAGUUUGUGAAGAAACGACGAUUGUCUAACUAACCGAGUAAGAGAACUCGUACUCAAACAAAUGAGGAGAGGAGUUGAAGGCUCAAAAACCAUCUCCCUUUUCAUUUCCAUAUGGAGUUUUAAUUGUAAUUAGGUGGAUAGAAAGGAAAACUAUUUGACUAGCCGAGUAAGAGAACUCGUAUUCAAAUAAUCGAGGAGAGGAGUUGAAAACUCAAAAGCACCCCCCCUUUUCAUUUCCAAAUGAAAUGGUAUUUAAUCGUGAUUAGGUGUUUUAAUUGAGUUUAAAUAAAAAUACUCGAUAUUGGAUCGAGGUUUUAAAUUUGUGUUUUGUGAAUAAAUUGGAUUUUAUUUAGUGAAUCAAUCAUCUACUCGAUUAAUUAAAGUCGAAUAGGUCUCAUUGUAAGAAAUCCCAAAAGUAAGCUAUGUGAGGUUUAUGGCGAUGCGUAAAAGCAAUCGACUUACAAGGGUAUUUGGAAAAUGGGCUCGACAUUGAAUCGAGAAUUGCGUGAUUUAUUGGUUUUAUCAUGGUUUUGUAUUGAUGAUGAAAUGGAGUGACAUCGGGCUUGUUUUAUGAAAUGGAAGAUGAUGGUGAAGUAAAUCGGUUCGUUUUUUUUAUUAACAAAAUUAAUUGAUUAAAAUUCAAUUAGGUCAUCUAAUUAAGGUAAUUAAAAUCAAUUAUCAAAAUUAUUUGAUUAAGAAUUAAUAUAAUUAAAUAAUAAAGUUAAUUAAAAUUAGUUAACAAAAUCAUCUUAAUUUAAUCAAAACUUUAAUUAAUUGAUUUUAAAAGGAAACAAGUGACAAUAUUGAAUGUAAAAUAAUUGAAUUGAAUCGGUGUGCUCAAAACCGGUUUGUGCAAAAUGACAACACAAUUAAUGUCAUUCGCAAUAUCAUAACACGGUGAAAUGCUCUAUUAAUUUAUUGAGACUUUGGUGGCAUAACGACACUUAAAAGUCGAAUCCACGAAUUAUAAGUUUGAUUAAGCAACGCAAAGAGAAGCAACAACCACAUGGGAUGGUUUGAGACAGGGACUUCGCCUAGAAUAACAGACAGAGGGACCACAUCCAAAAUUUCAUCAUCGAGAAAGUUCAUGGAAGAAGUGCUAUCCUUGUGAGUAGGCUUAGUAGUUUUUGAACCAGAUGGAGUUUGAUGUUGUGACAUCUUGUUGUUUUUGUGGAAAAAUUUCAGUUGCCCUAGCAGAGGAGUUUGAGGAAGAAGCAGGGAGUUGGAAAUGUUUGAGUAGAGGUUGCGUGUGGAAAGGUAAUAGAUGGUAUUUCCAAGAAUAGGUGAUUAUUUACCAUAAAGGGGGCGCUUUAUUUUAAGUAAGCAGACAAUAAUUUGAUUACCUUUUCCACUCCAUAUUAAUUGCAACAAAUUCUCAUAAAUACAAAUCCCUAAUUUCCCUCUUAGAAAUUCAAAUUGAUUUGCAUCCAAGGCCUUUGUAAAAAUAUCAGCUAACUGCAUCUCAGUAACAACAUGCUUCAGGGAUACAAUUUUAUUUUCCAUGAGUUUUCUAAUAAAAUGGUGACGAAUAUCAAUAUGUUUUGUCCUACUGUGCUGAAUAGGAUUUUUGGAAAUGUUUAUAGCACUCAGGUUGUCAUAGUACAAUGUCAUGAUAUCUUGUGUGACAUUGUAUUCAGUCAACAUUUGUUUCAUCCACACCAGUUGAGAGCAACUACUUCCAGUUGCUAUGUAUUCAGCUUCAGCAGUGGACAGAGACACACAAUUUUAUUUCUUACUAAACAAUGAUAUUAAGUUGUUCCCUAAGAAGAAGCAUCCUCCUGAUGUGCUUUUCCUAUCAUUAGCACUUCCAGCCCAAUCAGCAUCACAAUAUCCAGUCAGCACAGAUCCAGAUCCAUGAGUGUAUAGCAUCCCAUAGUCACUCGUGCCAUUGACAUAUUUCAGGAUCCUUUUCACUUGGUUUAUGUGACUCACCUUUGGUUCAGCUUGAUAUCUAGCACAAACACCUACAGCAAAAGCAAUGUCAGAUCUGCUUGCUGUGAGAUAUAGCAAACUCCCUAUCAUGCUUCUGUAGAGACUUUGAUCCACACUGACACCAUUUUCAUCUUUAGACACUUUCAGAUGAGUAGAAGCAGGUGUCCUUUUGUGACUUGCAUUCUCCAUGCCAAACUUCUUAACAAUAUUUUUGGCAUAUUUUCUUUGAGAUAGAAAGAUAGAAUCUUCCAUUUGCUUGACUUGUAGCACAAGAAAAUAGGUUAGUUCUCCAACAAGGCCCAUUUCAUAUUCAUACUGCAUUUGUUUAACAAAAUGUUCAACCAUCUUAUUUGACAUCCCACCAAACACAAUAUCAUCCACAUAUAUCUGAGCCACCAUGAGUUUUCCUCCUUCAUUUUUGACAAAUAAGGUCUUAUCAAUGCCUCCCUUCCUGUAUCCAUUGUCAAUGAGAAACACUGUGAGUCUAUCAUACCAAGCCCUAUGAGCUCUAUUUCAACCCAUAGAGGGCUUUCCUCAACUUAUACACAUGCUUUGGAAGAUUUGGCGUCUGUAAACCCUUUAGGUUGUUCAACAUACCUUCUCAUUUAGCAACCAUUCGAAGGCACUUUUCACAUCCAUUUGGAACAGUUUAACUUCAUAAUACAUGCCACUCGAGCAGUAAUCUAAUGUCUCCAGGCGAGCUACAUGGAAAAUGUUCAUCAAAGUCAACUCCUUCAACUUGAGUGUAUCUUGUUGCUACCAAUCUUGCUUUUUUAGUAACCACCCCUUGUUCAUCAGUUUUUCUUGUAAACCCACUUUGUUCAAUAACAUUUAUUCCUUCAGUCUUUAACCAAUUCCCAUACUUCAUUUCUCUUGAAUUGGCCUACUCUUCCUGCAUGGCAUUAAUCCACAAUUCAUCAGUUAAGGCUUCUUUUGACAUUCUUGGCUCAAUCUUGGACACAAAACAACCAUGUGAGAUCAUUCCCUUGAUCUGAUGGUGACCCCUUUAUUUGGGUCUCCUAUAAUGAGAUCUUUCGGAUGAUCCUUCUGAAUUCUGAUAGAGGGUCCCUUAUUAAUUUUAUCAGCUUCAGGUUCAGCUUGAGUGGGUUCACUCUCAUUGCUUUUUUCCAGGAGAUCAGCUGGGGCAUCAUUCAGAGAUGUUUCAAAAUCGUCUGUGACAUCAGUCUCUUGAUCAUCAACAACAACAUUGAUAGAUUCCAUCAUUACUUUUGUUCUGGAAUUAAAGACCCUAAAUGCUCUGCUGUUUGUUGAGUAACCCAGAAAUAUUCCUUCAUCACUCUUAGGGUCCAUUUUCCUUCUUUGUUCACGAUCAGUCAGAAUAUAACGUUUACUACCAAACACAUGGAAGUAUUUGACAGUAGGUCUUCUUCAUUUCCAGACUUCAUAUAAAGUAGUUGGGGUCCCUUUCUUCAAGGUUACUCUGUUGUGAACAUAGCAGGCAGUGUUCAUAGCUUCAGCCCAGAAGUGGUAAGGCAACUUCUUAACAUGAAUCAUAGCUCUGGCAGAUUCUUGGAGACUUCUAUUUUUCCUUUCUACCACACCAUUUUGCUGAGGGAUAAUGGGAGAUGAGAACUCAUGACUAAUUCCUUCAGAUGAACAGAAUCCAACAAAUUUACUGUUCUCAAAUUCUUUCCCAUGAUCACUUCUGAUUCUGAUAACCUGACUUUCUUUUUCUCUUUGAAAGUCUUAGGCAAAGAUCUUUGAACACCUCAAAUACAUCAGAUUUUUCCCUUAUAAAAUUUACCCAAGUGUAUCUGGAGAAGUCGUCCACCACCACAUAAGCAUAGCUUUUCCACCAAGACUUUCCACCUGCAUAGGUCCCAUCAAGUCCAUGUGGAGAAGUUCCAGCACUCUAGAUGUGGUGUCAUGUUUGAUCUUUGUGUGAACAUCUUCUUGUCUUUGCUUUCCAAUCUGACACUCACCACAAACUCUUCCUUCAUCAAUCUUUAAUUUUGGGAUUCCUCUGACAGCUUCAACAGAUAUAAUCCUCUUCAUUCCUUUAAGAUGCAGAUGGCCUAGUUUUUGAUGCCAUAGUUUCACUUAUUCUUCUUUGCCUAGAGUACACAUUGAUGAAUAACCAGUUUCUUGAGAACUCCACAUAUAGUAGUUGUCCUUAGACCUGACUCCUUUCAUGAUCACCUCAUUUUUUUAAUUAGUAAUCAAACAUUCAGUUUUUGUGAAGUUCACAUUUAUACCUUGGUCACACAGUUGACUGAUGCUGAUCAAGUUUGCAGUCAAUCCUUUAACAAGUAGCACAUUGUCAAGGUUAGGGACUCCAGGGCAGUUUAGCUUUCCAAUUCCCUUGAUUUCACCCUUUUCUCCAUCACCAAAGGUCACAUAGCUGGUGGCAUGAGGAUGAAGGUCAAUUAGCAGGUUUUUGCUUCCAGUCAUGUGUCUGGAGCAUCCACUGUCAAAAUACCAGUCUUCUUUGGCUGAAACUCUGAAGGAAGUGUAAGCUAUCAUGUUAGUAGCACCAGUCCUAGGAACCCAUUAUUUUCUGUUGACAGGGAUAUGGUGUUUGGGUCUAGGUUGAUGAUGAGUAGGACUAGGAUAGCCAUACAACUUAAAGCAUAAUGGUUUUAUGUGGCCAAAUUUUCCACAGUAAUGACAUCUCCAUCUUUGGUUUUUUCCUUUAUAUUGUCUUUCCUUGUGAUGUUGGGACACCUGAUGUGACAACUUUGGUUUGCUACCAGUGUGACUACACUCAGGAGUGGAUUCCUUGAACCCAAGGCCAGACUUGUCUCCUGCCAUCUUUCUAGUCUGGAGGAUUUUGUCUAAGGUGUCAGAUCCAUUGUUUAGCAUUCUGACAUACUUUGUCAUUUCAUCCAGUUUGGAGUUCAGGAACACGGCUUCGAUCUUCAACUUAGAAAUGGUUUCCAAGUGUUCUGUCUUCUCAUCCUCUAGUUGGGUUAUCAAUUUCUUCUGAUUCUCCACUUGUUGACAUACUUAUUCACUUUUGUAACACAACUUUCUAUAGGUAGUGGCUAAUUCAUCAAAGGUUACUUCAUCAUCACUUGAGUCUUCAUCAGAACCCCAUCUUCCAGUCAAGGCAGUCACAAGAUUGGUAGACUCUCCUUCUGUUUCACUUUCAUCAGACCAAGUAGCAGCGAGACUCUUUUUCUGUUUCUUGAGGUAGGUCCCACAUUCAGCUCUAAUGUGUCCAUACCAUUCACAUUCAUGGCACUGAACUCCUUUGCCUUGUUUGGAUUUUUCCUCAGAUUUUGUUCUUCUUCCAGUAUCAUUGGACCAUGUCAAAAUGAGUUGGUUCCUUGACAUAGAUUUGACCUUACAUCCAUCCUUUUCAGGAGUUUGUUGAACUGUCUCCCCAGUAAUGCUACAUCAUUUGCCAGAUCUUCAUCAGUAUCCUGACCACUUUCUUCCUCUUUCUCUUCAGUGUUUGACAUGAAGGCUAUGCUUUUGGCUUUCUUUUCAAAUCCAUCACUCAUCCCCAACUCAAAUGGUUGGAGGGAUCCAAUUAGCUCAUCCACUCUCAUAUUGCAGAUGUCUUGAGAUUCUUCUAUGGCUGUCACUUUCAUGGCAAAUCUCUUGGGAAGUGACCUGAGAAUUUUCCUCACAAGUUUUUCAUCUGGCAUCUUCUCACCCAGGGCUCCUAAGUCAUUAGCAAUUUCAAGGAUAUUCAUAUGGAAGUCAUGAAUACUUUCAUCUUCUUUUAUCCUCAAAUUCUCAAACUUCGUAGUAAGCAGUUGCAAUCUUGACAUUUUCACUCUAGAGGUACCAUCAUGAGUGGUUUUGAGAAUAUUCCAAGCAUCUUUAGCCACCUCACAGUUGUUCACCAGUCUGAAGAUGUUCUUAUCAAUCCCAUUGAAUAUAACAUUCAAUGCUUUAGAGUUUCCAAGAGCUAGUUCAUCCUCCUCCUUGGUACAUUCUUCCUCAGCCUUCUUAUCAGUUGUAACUUCUCCUUCCUUAGUAAUAACGGGAUGUUCCCAGCCUGUUAGAAUAGCCUUCCAAGCAUUAUUAUCCAAAGAUUUCAGGAAGGCUACCAUUCAAGGUUUACAGUAGUCAUAGUUAGAUCCAUCCAGAAUUGGUGGUCUGUGAACAGAUCCUCCGUCUCUAUCCAUAGUACCAGAAAGUAAUGUCCCAAGAUCUCACCCAGAACCAGAGCAAGAUGUUUGCUCUGAUACCAAUUGAAAUUCUGGUAUUAGAUAUGAGAUGUCGAAGGUAAUUUCACGACACUAAUAUCUGAACAACCACUAAAAUAUAAACAGGAUAAAAGACAAGGAAACAAUAGUACAAGUGACACAAGCAAUUGUUAACCCAGUUCGGUGCAAACUCACCUACGUCUGGGGGAUACCAAGCCAGGAAGGAAAUCCACUAAACAAAAUUAGUUCAAAGACUCUCAGUAAACAACUUCAAGUUAUAGUCUUUUCACCUAAUCUCUACCCGUGUGACUUCUAUAUAAGAACUGUUAGAUAAGAGACCCUACUCACUCCCCCUCAAUCAAAGCAGUGAUAUAAAAACAAAUAUUACAAAGAAAGAAAAGACACUCUUCAAGAACACAUACUUGAUCUUGCUUAAAAGCUUCAACCAAGUAAACACACACUCAUGCUUCAAAGCUUAGAGUGGACAAAUUACAACACAAAAGUCAGUCCAAUUCAAUGAUCAAUAGGAUGAAUGAAUGGCUCACAAUACACAAGCUCACACAAGACUAAAACCCUUAUUCUCUCUCACUAUUUCGUUCGUUUUCUUGUGUGUUAAAACCAGGUUUUACAUGGCCUUUAAAUAGAAAGGCUCACAAUACACAAGCUCACACAAGACUAAAACCCUUAUUCUCUCUCACUAUUUCGUUCGUUUUCUUGUGUGUUAAAACCAGGUUUUACAUGGCCUUUAAAUAGAAGCUUUUGAAUGGGCUUGGAUAUCAUAAAACCCUAAAUCUAUUUUCCUUUCGUAUCUUCUUAUUCACGACAGCUGAUCAUAUCUUUUUAGAAAAUAAAUCAAUCUGAUUUUAAUUCAAAUUACUCCUUGAAUGGCGCGUUCAAUCUCCACAUCAAUUACACACAGAUUUGCAUGAGAAGCUCAAUCUUAAGAUACAUAACAUUCAGACUAAAUGUUAUGUGUACACAUGUCUUAACAUCGGGUCUGACAUCUCAGUUAAAUCCUGCACAACCAUAUUUAAACAUACUAUAGGAAGCUGAUAUCACAUGUCAAGACAACAUGCGUGAGAACUUGUGAUAACUCUAGGUUUUAUCAAAAUUGAUGCCAACACAUAUAACUAACAAAGUUUCAUUCCACAGUAGUCCUUGAUUGCCUUGGUUUCGCUAGUCCUUGAUCAUUGGCGAUCCAAGUCUAUUUCACUUUCAAUGUCUUGACAAUUCACCCAUUGAUCUUUCGUUUGUUCAAUCAUGUCAUUCAUAGUACAUUCGAGUUUACUAAGCCUUGGUCAUGGUAUAUGGUUCGUUGGAUUUCUACAAUAGUCAUUUCCAUUAGUCCAUACAAUUCAUUACAUUCAAUCAAGUCUAUAGUUCAUAUCAAUUCAAUUUCAUUCAAUUCAAUACAAGUUCAACACAAAUGUCAUUUUCAUUCACAAUUUGUUCAUUUCAUUACAAGGAUUUCCAUGUUCGUGCAAAAAAUCACAAUUUGGCCAAAAUUUGCUACAAUUGACUUUUGGUCAACAAUUGACUUUUUGGUCAACCAGUUGACCAAAGUCAAAUGACCCUCCCUUGACCCCUAAGACGUAUUUCCAUAAAUUUUGCCUUGAUUCGUCACUAAAAUUCAUGUUUUCCUUUGAUUUCUUCUUGGCCAAGUAACUUGGUCCAUGACUUAGUCCAUGUCCAGGUCAGACCACUAAAUGGACCAGCCUGACCAUCACUUGAACCUGCAGCUUGCCAGUCAGACCACCAAUUGAACCUACAAGAAACCUCAAUCAACAAUACAUUUGCCAUAUAUAAACCCUGAUUCAUUACACUAUUCAAAAUCCCAUAAACAAAUUUCAUUCAUUUGCAUUAACAAUCCAAUUACAUUCAAAAUUCUAUUCUCAUACAUAAACCAUUGAUUUACCAUUCAUCUUCCAAUACAAUAUUUCAAUCCAAAUUACAAAUUACAACCACAAUAAAUACACAGUUUAAGUUCCAUCACAAAUCCAUUCCAUUUGAAGCAAAAGUUUAAUGCACCUCCCACACGACUAUGAUUCGUAGCAUAACACCACAAUUUAAAUACACAUUCCACAUGGCCCGUGACAGCCCUGCAAAUUCAUUUACCUACAAAAAUCCAAACGCAUAAUAACAUUCACCCUGCAACAAUUUUCAUAAUAGGGCAAAAACAAUUCAAUAUGUAAUUGCAUAACAUAGCAAACAUUGAUCAAUAACAAAAUGGAAUUCAACCAAACAAGGAUUUCAAUUAACUUCAUUCAUUUUCACUAACCAUUUCACUUCACACUAACAAAACUCUUCUAACAACUAACUUCCCUUCAACUAACGGAUUGACUCUACAUAACUAAUAACCUAACUGUUUUUAACAGUUAGUUAACAGUUAACAGACGCGUAACAAAAUUGCACAGAUGGAAACUAACAAACCUAACUGAUCCAACAUAAUAGACAUCCUAUAUAAGCUCCCAAAUCUCAUUGUAACUUGGAGUUUUUGGAAGCUACAAUUCAUUCCUCUCCAAAUUCUCAGGAUUUCAUUCUCUUACAUUGAAACGAUUCAUUCCUGCAAAAUUCUCUCCCUCACAUUUCCACUAUCCAGAAAUUCACAGAGAUCAUCACACUCACGAUUCUUCAAGAAAAAAGCACUAGAAGCAUUGAGAAGAAUUAUAAGGAGAAAGAAAGAGUUCAAGGGAAGAGGAUCUCGUACCUGACGCCGACUCCAUUCUGGUGAGUCUCCAUUUCAUUUCUUCAUUGUUUCGCAAUAUAGAAGUUACCAAUGUGUAGCUAUAGAUUGGGGGAGUCAAAGCCCUGACCUCUAUGGAUUUGACUAUGGACGAGCAUUGUUUAAUUUCAACUUGAAGACCUAGGGUCCUUACCUCUUUUGAUUCGAUUCGAGCAUAUCCGAUUGAAUUAGACGUAGAUAUAGUGAUUUCUGGAUUCAGUGUAGAAAACUGAUUUAGGAGAUAUGUUUAAUUGAGAUUCUAGAGGCGCCUCCACCACUGGAGAUGGCCUUUGGCGCGACGGAGGGAGAACGGAGAAGAGGGAGACACAUUUGAGAUAUUUUUUCUCUGAGUCUUUUAAGCAUGUGAAUCACGUGUUUUCUAAGCUUUGACUCAUUAAUAGAGCUGUCAAUUUAAGGGGCCAAUUAAUUUAGGCCCCAACCCCCAAAAUAAGAGGGCCUAAAAAAAUUAAAGAAUAGUAAGCCCUCAACCCUAAAGUUAGAUGGGCCCAAAAUUUAAAAGAGGGCCAUAAGGCCCCAAAUAAAAUAAAAAAACUUAAUUUUGAAAAACAAAAUAAAAUAAAUUCAAAAAAUAAAAAAACUUUAUUUUGAAAACCAGGAAUAGAUAAGAAAAUAUUUCCUAUUACGCUGGAUAACGCAUCUGCCAAUGAUAACAUGCAAGACCACUUGAAAACUCAUCUUCGAGUGCAAGGCAAUUUGAUGUGUGAUGGUGAAUUUUUUCAUAUCCGAUGUUCGGCCCAUGUACUCAACUUAAUUGUCCAAGAGGGUUUAAAAGUUGCUAGUGAAGCCCUCCAUAAAAUUAGAGAGAGUGUCAAGUAUAUUAAAGGAUCUGAUGGAAGGAUGCUUAGUUCAGAGAUUGUGUCGAGGAUGCAGGGAUAAAUGUUAGCGUGGUUUAAGAUUUGAUGUAUCACUAGAUGGAAUAGCACUUAUUUGAUGCUUGAAAGUGCCUUGCAAUAUAGGAAAGCUUUGAGUUUUAUAAGGUGGCGGAUAGAAGCUAUAAAUAUUGUCCAUCUGAUGAGGAAUGGGAAAAGGGGGAAAGGAUUUGUGAGUUUUUAGAACCUUUUUA